CCAUAGCUCAGUAGGUAGAGCGGAUGGCUGUUAACCAUUAGGUCGGAGGUUCGAGUCCUUCUGG
rnacentral:tRNA from 1 species